rnacentral:ncRNA from 2 species
AACUUUAACUGAUUGCCCAGUUCUGGAUAUGAAGACAAUCAAGAAAAGAUUUGGUGUUCUUGAUUGUCUUCAUAUCUAGAACUGGGCAGUCAGUUAAAGGAGCAGGCU